GAUGAACGCUGGCGGCGUGCCUAAUACAUGCAAGUCGAGCGCUGAGACGUGAAGCUUGUACCGAUUGGAUUAGCAGCGGACGGGUGAGUAACGCGUGGGUAAUCUGCCUUUGAGCCGGGGACAACAUCUGGAAACGAAUGCUAAUACCGCAUAAUAACUUUAACCACAAGUUUCAAGUGUGAAAGAUGCAAUUGCAGCACCCAAAGAUGAUCCCGCGUUGUAUUAGCUAGUUGGGAAGGUAAAGGCUCACCAAGGCGAAGAUACAUAGCCGGCCUGAGAGGUUGACCGGCCACACGGGAACGGGGACACGGUCCAGACUCCUACGGGAGGCAGCAGUGGGGAAUCUUGGCCAAUGGGCGAAAGCCUGACGGAGCAAGCCCGCGUGGGGGAGGAAGUUCUCCGGUUGGUAAACCCCGUUUGUUGGGAAAGAAGAUAUGUAGAGUUAAAAGCUCAUCAAGUGACGGUAACUAAUCAGAAAGCGACGGCUAACUACGUG
rnacentral:rRNA from 1 species